AAUAAGUGCAGUUUUGCACUAUUCACGUUCAACAUUUGACCGUCCGUCUUAUUUGAAAAAUUUGUGAAAAAUUAAAAACAUUUAGUCGCACAUAAAGUACUAUUCAUGUUUUAUCAUCUAAUAGCAAUAAAAAUACUAAUCAUAAAAAAUCUUCAAAUAAGACAGACGGUCAAACGUUGAACAUGAAUAGUGCAAAACUGCACUUAUU
rfam:Oryza sativa Japonica Group DNA, chromosome 8, cultivar: Nipponbare, complete sequence.